rnacentral:rRNA from 1 species
UAGGGAAUCUUCCGCAAUGGGCGAAAGCCUGACGGAGCAACGCCGCGUGAGUGAUGAAGGUCUUCGGAUCGUAAAACUCUGUUAUUAGGGAAGAACAAAUGUGUAAGUAACUAUGCACGUCUUGACGGUACCUAAUCAGAAAGCCACGGCUAACUACGUGCCAGCAGCCGCGGUAAUACGUAGGUGGCAAGCGUUAUCCGGAAUUAUUGGUCGUAAAGCGCGCGUAGGCGGUUUUUUAAGUCUGAUGUGAAAGCCCACGGCUCAACCGUGGAGAGUCAUUGGAAACUGGAAAACUUGAGUGCAGAAGAGGAAAGUGGAAUUCCAUGUGUAGCGGUGAAAUGCGCAGAGAUAUGGAGGAACACCAGUGGCGAAGGCGACUUUCUGGUCUGUAACUGACGCUGAUGUGCGAAAGCGUGGGGAUCAAACAGG